AAACACAUAGUCUAGGAUCCAUGGUGGGCUGGUCCCCCGGGGCUCAGGAAAGCUCUCCAGUGUGGAUAGAGUCUUGUCUGUGUGUGUCCCAUAUUGUACUGAAGCUGAGGUACCCGCAAAGCACAUCAUCUUGUAUUUUGCGCCUUGGGUAUCAUUUGCUCCCUAAGCUCAAGUUUUGCAGAAUAUCCUGCUCUAGAAGGAACAUAGUUCUGGCUAUUCUAGCCUGUUUCUUUUUUUCUUAUGUUAAUGCAUUCUGCAGAAAUUCUACAGUAAUUCUGAGAACUACAAGUUGGAGAGGGGAGAGCUGGGUCGAAAAAGGCCACUUGAGGACCUGCCCUCCUACAGCAGGGACAUUUGUAUCUAAAGAGUGCUGCCUAUAGGGGAGCAGCAACUUGGAAGAAAAGGCCUAAUACUUAAGGGUCAAGGAAGGAGUUGCAAGUGAUCACCCAGCCUGGAGAAGCAUCUGCCCGAGUCAAGGAAACUUUACAAGAGAAAUCCCCAGUGUGCACCCCUAUGAAGAGCCUACAAUGGUAUGUCUACAAGAGUGAGUCAUCCUUACUUCUGCCAGACCCAGAUAGUUGCAAGCUGUCUUUGCUACCAUUUCAGGUUUAGCCUGAAGCCAGCCUGAGCCAAGAAAAGGGAGAAGGUUUUGCUGUUUAAUCAAAGUAGUUUUGAUUUAUAUUUUGUACUGAAAGUUUUAUUUUUUGAAAUUAGUCUGUUGGCAACUUCCAAUGUAUGUAGAAAUGUAUGUACCUAAGAAUGAGCAGAAAAAGCAUGGGACAUGCUGUUUAUCCUGGGGCAAAGAAAGAUUACCCCCACUGGAUAUAUUUUAAAAGGCGACAGGAAGCAAAAAAUAAAGUUGUGUUUUGCAUACAACAUGAGUUGUGCUUAGUCAACACACCAUAAAUAGUAUUAAAGGGAAGAAAACUGAUGGGCCGUGGUGCUAGGAGUUGGGCGGGGGGCAGCGCAGUGUGAAGAAUGAAUAAAUUGGAAGCGAUGCUUUUGUGUGUUGGGGCCUCUUGGGGUUGCUUUUGUCCUUAUGCUCCCUCCCAUGUGACCUGUGGGAUCUGCCAUGCUUAGGAGCUUAGGAAGGCCUCUCUGUCCUGGGGAUGCCUGAGAGAGCUUUCUCUCAUCUUAGGUCUGUCCUGAUUUGCUGUGGAAAAGGUAAAAUGACAAGGGCUAAUGUUCAGAUGUGGCUUCCAGUAAAGGGACUCUGGUUUUUGUAUUAUGCCAGAGAAACAACAUAGUCUAGUCCAGUCCAUGACGGUUGAUCCUAAGUGCCUGGGAAUAAAAUCUUAUUGAAUUUAUUAAAACCAUCAUCAUGUGCUUGAAGUGUUCCUUCUCCUCCUGAGGGUGAUGGUAUCAAAUGACUGAAUGAGAAAAUGGAGCAAUGGGUUCUGACCAGUCCUCAAUUUAUCUUUACUUGUGAGAUGGCUAAUGACUUUUUUUAGAGAGAA
rnacentral:lncRNA from 1 species